UAGGCCUAACACAUGCAAGUCGAGCGGCAGCGGGAAAGUAGCUUGCUACUUUCGCCGGCGAGCGGCGGACGGGUGAGUAAUGCCUGGGAAAUUGCCCAGUCGAGGGGGAUAACAGUUGGAAACGACUGCUAAUACCGCAUACGCCCUACGGGGGAAAGCAGGGGACCUUCGGGCCUUGCGCGAUUGGAUAUGCCCAGGUGGGAUUAGCUAGUUGGUGAGGUAAUGGCUCACCAAGGCGACGAUCCCUAGCUGGUCUGAGAGGAUGAUCAGCCACACUGGAACUGAGACACGGUCCAGACUCCUACGGGAGGUAGCAGUGGGGAAUAUUGCACAAUGGGGGAAACCCUGAUGCAGCCAUGCCGCGUGUGUGAAGAAGGCCUUCGGGUUGUAAAGCACUUUGAGCGAGGAGGAAAGGUCAGUAGCUAAUAUCUG
rnacentral:rRNA from 1 species